rnacentral:rRNA from 1 species
CCUACGGGAGGCAGCAGUGGGGAAUAUUGGACAAUGGGGGGAACCCUGAUCCAGCCAUGCCGCGUGUGUGAAGAAGGCCCUCGGGUUGUAAAGCACUUUCAGUGAGGAAGAACGCCUGGUGGUUAAUACCCAUCAGGAAAGACAUCACUCACAGAAGAAGCACCGGCUAACUCCGUGCCAGCAGCCGCGGUAAUACGGAGGGUGCUAGCGUUAAUCGGAAUUACUGGGCGUAAAGCGCGCGUAGGUGGCUUGAUAAGCCGGUUGUGAAAGCCCCGGGCUCAACCUGGGAACGGCAUCCGGAACUGUCAAGCUAGAGUGCAGGAGAGGAAGGUAGAAUUCCCGGUGUAGCGGUGAAAUGCGUAGAGAUCGGGAGGAAUACCAGUGGCGAAGGCGGCCUUCUGGACUGACACUGACACUGAGGUGCGAAAGCGUGGGUAGCAAACAGGAUUAGAUACCCUAGUAGUC